UACAGAGGUCUCAAGCGUUGUUCGGAUUCAUUGGGCGUAAAGGGUGCGUAGGUGGCGGGGUAAGUCAGGUGUGAAAUUUCGGAGCUUAACUCCGAAACUGCAUUUGAUACUGCCUUGCUUGAGGACUGGAGAGGAGACUGGAAUUCACGGUGUAGCAGUGAAAUGCGUAGAUAUCGUGAGGAAGACCAGUGGCGAAGGCGGGUCUCUGGACAGUUCCCGACACUGAGGCACGAAGGCCAGGGGAGCAAACGGG
rnacentral:rRNA from 1 species